UGAGGAAUAUUGGUCAAUGGGCGAGAGCCUGAACCAGCCAAGUAGCGUGCAGGAUGACGGCCCUAUGGGUUGUAAACUGCUUUUAUAUGGGAAUAAAGUGAGGGACGUGUCCCUUAUUGCAUGUACCAUACGAAUAAGGACCGGCUAAUUCCGUGCCAGCAGCCGCGGUAAUACGGAAGGUCCAGGCGUUAUCCGGAUUUAUUGGGUUUAAAGGGAGCGUAGGCUGUUUGUUAAGCGUGUUGUGAAAUGUAGGAGCUCAACUUUUAGAUAGCAGCGCGAACUGGCAGACUUGAGUGCGCACAACGUAGGCGGAAUUCAUGGUGUAGCGGUGAAAUGCUUAGAUAUCAUGACGAACUCCGAUUGCGAAGGCAGCUUACGGGGGCGCAACUGACGCUAAAGCUCGAAGGUGCGGGUAUCGAACAGG
rnacentral:rRNA from 1 species